AUGGAGGGAGUACAUACAUAUAGCAGCGAUUUUGUGAGGUUAAUUGUUACUAUAUGGGCCAUCUGGGGAGCACGAAGAAAGGCAAUUCAUGAGGACAUAUUCAAAUCACCUAGUGCUACAGAUGGUUUCAUUAAUAGCUACCUGGCAGAUCUUCAGGUUGUGAAAGGCAUAGCAAAGAGACCAGCAACGGUGGUGCAAGCAAGACCAACACAAUGGCAAGCACCAAGUGAGGGGUGUGCAAAGGUGAAUGUAAAUGCAGCGGUGUUUGGUCGGGCAAGAUUCGGAGCAGUGGCUGCGGUGUGCAGAAGCUCUGACGGUACGUUCCAGGGAGCGUCUACGAUGUUUUACAAGCACAUUGUUGAUCCCCAGACACUCGAGGCCCUGGCCAUCAGGGAGGCUUUAGCUUUGUCAGAUGAUUUAUAUCAGAGGAGAAUACAUGUUGCAUCUGAUUGCAAGGUGGUGGUCGAUGAUCUAAAGAAGGAAAACUCAUCGGGUUAUGGUGCCAUCAUACAGGAGAUAGUCAGCCGAUCAAAUGAUUUUGAGAUAUGUAAAUUUAGUCAUGAGUUUAGGAGCUCGAAUUUCGAAGCUCACAACUUAGCGAAGCAUGCUUUAUCCCUCGGGGUUGGCCGCCAUAUUUGGUUAGGCCACCCUGCAGAACUUUCUUUCGUCCCUGUAAAUAUUGUGACGUCUUAA
rnacentral:rRNA from 1 species